UACGUAGGUGGCAAGCGUUGUCCGGAUUUACUGGGCGUAAAGAGCGCGCAGGCGGUCGUUCAAGUCGCGUGUGAAAGCCCCCGGCUCAACUGGGGAGGGUCACGCGAUACUGAUCGACUCGAAGACAGGAGAGGGUAGUGGAAUUCCCGGUGUAGUGGUGAAAUGCGUAGAUAUCGGGAGGAACACCAGUGGCGAAGGCGACUACCUGGCCUGUUCUUGACGCUGAGGCGCGAAAGCUAGGGGAGCAAACGGG
rnacentral:rRNA from 1 species